GGGGAAUCUUGCGCAAUGGGCGAAAGCCUGACGCAGCAACGCCGCGUGCGGGAAGAAGGCCUUCGGGUUGUAAACCGCUUUCAGCAGGAACGAAAAUGACGGUACCUGCAGAAGAAGGUGCGGCCAACUACGUGCCAGCAGCCGCGGUGACACGUAGGCACCAAGCGUUGUCCGGAUUUAUUGGGCGUAAAGAGCUCGUAGGCGGUUCAGUAAGUCGGGUGUGAAAACUGUGGGCUUAACCCACAGCCUGCACCCGAAACUGCUGUGACUAGAGUUCGGUAGGGGAGCGGGGAAUUCCUGGUGUAGCGGUGAAAUGCGCAGAUAUCAGGAGGAACACCGGUGGCGAAGGCGCCGCUCUGGGCCGACACUGACGCUGAGGAGCGAAAGCGUGGGUAGCAAAC
rnacentral:rRNA from 1 species